CUUUCUACACCCGGUUUCAGCCAUGCGACUGGGUUCUAACCAUUGGAAAAAGGACAGAAGGGAUUCCCUCGAGGUCUAGUCUAGAAAGCAUACCUUUCUCCACACAUUUUUUCCCUCCUCAUCCACCACUGUGUGUGGAAGAGGACAGGGAUGUAGAAGAUGAUGGGACCACAAAACUGCAAAGCCGGAGUCCCUAACUGAGGAGGGAGAACAAAUCCAUCUCAUCAACCAACAUUGGACCAUGAUGGGAACAAAAGUCCGUUUUCUUGUGCCAGGAGAUUGAGAUUUUCGAGUUACCACAGAAGAUAGCUGACCCUGAUCUAUGCCAUUGUCUUUUUAUUUCCUAGAAGAAGAAACGGCCUCAGUGAAGUGUUCACAUCACAGUGAGGAUGGAACUGAGUCCAGGGUUUGAGGUCUGCAGAGAACUGGGCUCAGGAUGCUAAAUCCUCUCAAGCAGUUUCUGGGUUUGAAUCUGUAAUUUAUGGCCUGCGUGGGGGUUUCAGGUUUCCUGUGUCCUCUGAUACUCAGCCUCUAGACCUGUUCUUGUGGCUGUUUAACAAAUUGAUCCCAUAUGGAAAAGAAUCCUGGCCUGAAGAUGGUGAGGUUUGCCUACGCGGUACAGCGCUGCAUUUUCUCUUGGAAUACCGUCACUCCACUAACUCUGCAAAGGACACCUGAGACCCGUCUUGCCUUUCCCACCAUGUGAAACCCGUCAGUGUGGAUAGCUUCUCCAGAACUCACUCUGCAAUCAAACAGCACAGUGAGAACGAAACAGGAAAAGCAAGCCAAUCACUGGACUAGAACAAAGAGUUCAGAAACGAAACCACAGACAAACUAAGAGAAAAUUUAGCAUACUGUUAUUAAGUUUCAGAGGGUACAUAGGCAUUCUUU